CCCCAAACAGUGUCCCCCACCUUUCUCUAUCACAAAACCCCAUCAGCCUCCAUCUCUCUCUGUCUCUCUCUGAAAUUCUCCAGCCAUGGCUCUGUUUCGCAGCCAGAAUCUUAGCCUUUGGAUCUCAAUGAUCUUGUUUUUGGGUUUUUGUUCUUGUUUUUGCUCUAAUUCUAAGGACGAUUCUUCAAUUCAUGAGCUUCUUCGAUCCAUGGGGCUGCCGGCCGGGCUAGUGCCGAAGCAAGUGAAGUCUUACACUGUGGCUGAAAAUGGUCGGUUGGAAGUGUUCUUGGAUGGUCCAUGUAUGGCUAAGUAUGAAAACAGAGUGAUUUUUGAGAGUGUUUUUAGUGCAAAUCUUAGCUAUGGGAGCUUGAUUGGAGUGCAGGGAAUGUCUCAAGAAGAGCUUUUUCUAUGGCUCCCUGUUAAAGAUAUCAUUGUUAAUUAUCCUACUUCUGGUGUGGUACUCAUCGACAUUGGUGUCGCUCAUAAACAGCUCUCUUUGUCCCUCUUUGAAGAUCCUCCUGAUUGUAGUAUCCCUUAAGCUGCAUUCAGGAAUCGUCUCAGGAACCAAAGAGCCUUUGAAUCUCUUAGAUAAGAGAGCCAACAAAAAAAAAAAUAAUAAAUAAUAAAUAAUAAAAAAGUUGUCAAAUUCAAGUUUCCA